GACCUUAUAGUCAAGGAAUGAUUUUAGACUGCAAUUCUAGAGGGGUAGUUAUUAAGCUACUAAGGUUU
rnacentral:tRNA from 1 species